UGAGGUUACAGUCCUAAGAUAUUUUUAAAAUUUUAUUUAAUAUUUGGUGUUGAUGUUGUUGAUUUAAAGUGUGUUUUAGCUAGUAUACGUAAUUCGAGUAUUUUCCUUGUCCAUUGCUACGUUGUUUCUACAGUUAGAUGAUUGAAUGAGGGCAUAUUAAAGUUUAUUUGGAAGCUACUAGUCCAACUAUACAAUGGUGUUAUUCGUUCAGUUUGUUUUUCCCUCAUCUUUUCUUGAUCUUGGUGGAACGUCAUGCAUUUGAUUUAGAUCUCCGCUGGAACCCAAUAUCCAUAAUAGAAGGAACACAUGUUAGUAACAAAGUAACUAAAUGCAUUCCCAACAAUUUGCUACUGUGAGAGCAUUUUAGACUGCACUUACUUGUAAAGAAAGGUAGGAUUUUAUUUAACAUGUUUUCAUAUCA